UACAGGGGGGGCAAGCGUUGUUCGGAAUUACUGGGCGUAAAGGGUUCGUAGGUGGCCACUUAAGUCAGACGUGAAAUCCCUCAGCUUAACUGGGGAACUGCGUCUGAUACUGGGUGGCUUGAGUGCAGGAGAGGAAUGCGGAAUUCCAGGUGUAGCGGUGAAAUGCGUAGAUAUCUGGAGGAACACCGGUGGCGAAGGCGGCAUCCUGGACCGGCAUUGACGCUGAGGAGCGAAAGCCAGGGGAGCAAACGGG
rnacentral:rRNA from 1 species